rnacentral:rRNA from 1 species
UACGGAAGGUGCAAGCGUUAGUCGGAAUUACUGGGCGUAAAGGGUGCGUAGGCGGUGAUAUAAGUCGGGUGUGAAAUUCCAGAGCUCAACUCUGGAGCUGCAUUCGAUACUGUUUCACUUGAGGAAUGGCGGAGGAAAUGGAAUUCCAUAUGUAGCGGUGAAAUGCGUAGAUAUAUGGAAGAACACCUGUGGCGAAAGCGGUUUCCUAGCCUCCUCCUGACGCUGAGGCACGAAAGCAAGGGGAGCAAACAGG